AUCCAGCCGUCCAGUUCUAAAUAGAACGAAACGCAUGUCCUGGAU
rnacentral:hammerhead_ribozyme from 1 species